AAAAUAGCUAUUUCUGAGUGUUUUGGACAGAAGGGCUUGCCGUACGGGGGCGUGGCCACGCAGCCGCCGUCCGGCCGCCGUGGAUCACGUGCCGCCGGCGGCGGCGGCCCCUCCUGGACCGGUCGUGGCCCGGCCUGGGACUCCGAGCCUCAGCAGCGAGGUCGUGAAGAUGAGAAAAGAAGUGAAGAGAAUCCGAGUUUUUAUCUGAAAACUUGUCAGGAGUGUGAGCAGACUGGAGUCCAAAAAGGGCACUGAAGAUGCACUGUUAAAAAGCCAGAGACGAGCACGACGAUUGCUUGAAGAAAUCCCUGCCAUGAAGGCAGCGAAAUGUGUCGAAACAAGUCUGGGACUGGAAGCACGAACAGGCAGACAUGGGACACCGGUCGUGACCAAUCCCUCGGCCUGCUGGCUGUGGAACACCGCCUGGAGACACCAUGAGGACCUGUUGAAAGUGGUCCUUUGAAAUCCACAGGACACAGCAAGAAGAUGAAGGGCGCAUUACGUUUGAGUUUUAUUACCUCCGCCGACCGCACUUUGGUAGGAGGGACAUCUGAGUAGCCCCGUAGACAGAGACCAUGGCUAUUUGGGGCUGACUUGGGCUUGGGAUAGACAUGGCAAAAGAUGACAGAAAUUAGGACAAGAAGGUGAAGUUGGGUCUUUUGAUCAGAAUAAAUCUUAACUCAUUCCACCGUUACUUACAUCUUGUUCACAUGCUUUGCAUAGGUUCCAUGCCAUGUUCCCUGGCGUGAUGAAGGCUGAAGCAGAAAUAGGUUCUGCUGUCAAGGAGCUCAUAAUUUAGUAAUGAGUGUAAGGUUCACACACACAGAAAUAUCUAUAACACGAAGUACCGUGACCCAGUUCAACUCAGGCGCCUGCCGCCGGGGGAACAGAAACAAUUGCAGGACAAAGUUCCUCUGCCUUGUGAGGUCUCAGCCCUGGCAGCUUCCUCCCAUGUGGCCCUGGGAGCCUCCCGGAGAAACCUAGGUCCCUGGUCUCCUCCUUGGGCUCCGGCACUAUGGUCUCCGAUGGCCUCUCGGGACACAUUCCAGCAGCAGCUCUGCUCCCAGCACCCGCGGGAGGCCCCUCAAUAGAGUGCAUUCCUUGCUUUGGUCUGGAGCCGGGCCCACAGUGACUGUUCUGUUAGGAAGGUAGGGAUCCGGCUUUCUUUUCUUCUGCAUAAAGACAGGCCAACACUAUCUAGUGAGCAAUGAAUGGUUUUCUGAUGUGUUUGAACUCGAUUCUCGAAUAUACUGCAAUCUAUGCAUUUUGUAUUUUAUUUCUAAUCCGUAAACUUCCUAUUUUAUUUCAUUGAUCUCUUCAUUCAUUUUUAAUACUUCACAUGCACAAAGAAAGUCUCAAUAAAUUCCAAAAAAAUACAAAUGAUCUAUGUUAAGUACAAUGAAAAGCAAAACCAAGAAAUUACCAACUGCCCGCAGUAAUAAUACGAAAAAUUGCAUCAAAAAGAAAUCACAGUUUCAGUGACAAUAUUUAGAAAAUGGUAAUAAGAAUACCAGAUGAAAUUCAGUCAGAAUUGUCCCUAGAGAUAAAUUCAUAGCCUUCAACAUGUUCAUUAACUUUGAAAUGCAUUAAAAACUGCACAUUCAACUCAAGAAGUAAGAAAAUUGCAAAAACAAAACAAGAAGAAUUAAUAGAGAAAAUGAAAAAACAGAACUGGUAAAUCAAAGUGGUAUUUCUAUGGAAAAACAUCAAUAAAAGAACAAAUAUUUAUUCUAAAAAAGUGUAAGUGAAAAAGGAUACUAGGUGAUUGUUAGGCUCACUUGUCAUUCUUAACUGUUCUAGAAAGAAUUAACCAAGUCUUGCAUGAUACUUCCUCAUCAGGAGCACAACACUUAUUUUGAACAGUUCAUUGAUUCAUUUCUUUAUUAUAUCCAAGUACCAGGAAUGGUACAUGGCAUGUAGUCGGAGCCCAAAAAUCAAGGAGAUCUCAGGCAAAUGAGCCCCUCCAGUUGUUAUGCAGGGUGGCAAAUCCUGACCUCUUACGCAAUCUUUGCUGUUAAUAUUACAGACUGGUUAAUGCGGACAGAAAAUGUAAACAUCAGGGAGGAGAACGGACUGGAGAUGUAUCUCCAUUUCUGACAGAGGACGAUGGCUGUGCAGCGGGACAGCAGACACCUCAAGGCAGCGCCGGUGAGGCAGACCUACACGCCGGCCUAGACACAGGGCCGUGACAAGCGAAUUUAAAAAAAUUACCUUUGUUCACGUGCACACACCACAUACACACACAUAGAAUGAUUUUGUCUUACAUGUGCCUGCCUGUGAAUAUAAAAUAAUCAGGUCUGAAUUAAUUUAGGGCGAAUUCAGAAAGUACCUAACACCUCUUAAGAGUAGCUAUGUACUAGGCAACAGAUUGGGAGGGAGUAGUUUUUCCUUCAUUUCUUACUUUCCAUAACUAAACUUGAAAACAAGAAUGGGUGUGAUAGGUGAUCUUCAAAGAAAAGAACGAAACAGAAGUAGAUGGAGAUGGGUCAGCCUAGACGAACAGGGCCGAAGAGGAGGCGCUGCUGAGCCCCGGGAGCCCCCUCAGGCGUGUGCUGCUGACAGUCCCCCCUCCCCAGGCUCUCAGGAGGCAGCUUGGGCUGUCCAGGCCGCCCAGAGGUUGACUCACUCCGGACCCUCGGUCUCAAAGCCAGGUCCAAAGGCCUGUCAUCAGGAGAGUGGAGGAAACCAGAGCAGAGGACAGGCGGCAAGAGUGAGGCGUGGACCGGGGCUGGUGCCCUCUGGGCCGGAGGUGGAGGUCCCCGCCCUGCCAGGUCGGGAAGGCUCCUGCCAGCUCCUUCCAAGUGUCUCCAGGAAUCCUGGACUGGAAGAGAAGCAGCCUCUUGAUCAUGAGCGAACAUUAGCAAUUCCAGGCCUAAAACCGCACAGGCGGAUGGCCUUUUUUUUGGAGAAAUUCAGAAGCAAUCAAAAUUAAAUGAGAGUCUGUUUUUUUCUUUUAUGCUUUAAUGCCACAUUUAUCAUGGAGUUUUCAACACCAGAAGGCUCUUUUUUAGAAUUAGUUCUCCUCAAAGAGUAUCUUAAAAUAUCUCACAGCAGCAAAAAACAAAAAUAAACCCACACAUUCAGCAAUUAAGCUUUUUCAUCUCCUGGAAGAAACUGAAGAAAAUGAAAAUAAUAAUAUCUAUAAGGCUGCUUCUCUUCCCCAGCACAGCCUGGGUGGGAAGUGAGUAUGGCCCACACAGGGAUAAAUCUUUCGCUUCUGAAGGAGUCAGACUUAAUGGCUGGAUCGUGAGCUGGGAGCACUGCAAGGUCGGAGGUCACAUCUUGUCAGGCCCCCACUGUACCCCAGAAUCCUGCACAAGCAUGUCAUCGUAAUAUCUGCCAAUUAAAAGGAGUUUGGCAAACAGAGCAGAGCUUACCUGCAGAGGAGACAAGCUGCUGGACUCUGAGACUUAGCUAAUACGACCUCGAGCGUAGCACUUGACCUCUU